UGUCAUGUUGGGAGGCUAGGUGCCUUUAGCUCUUUAGUAAAGGUUUGCCUACAGGAACGUGAUGCCGUGUUCCGCUGAAAAGCUGCAUUUCGGACAAGGAACGCGGCUCACUGUACUAGGAGUUGACCAAGAUGUCAGCCCCCCUCAAGUGACCGUUUUUGCCCCGCCCAAGCAGGAGGUUGACGAAAAGGAGAAAGCCACCAUUGUGUGUUUAGUCACCAAUUUCUUCCCAGAUCAUGUCGCCCUGAGCUGGACCGUGAAUAACGAGAAGAGAACUGCUGGGGUAAAGACAGAGGACCCAGUAUAUGACAAAACCACGAAGCGCUAUUCAAUGACCAGCCGUUUAAGAAUCACCAAGGAAGAGUGGCAGAAUGCAGAUAAUAAGUUCGUGUGCAGAGUCAGUUUCCACGGUACAGAAGGAUCCACAGACUAUGAGGAUGACAUAAAUGGUGCAGAUUGUGGUGGCGGCAGCGAGGCUGCAAGAGAGUCGUAUCUCACGGAAGCCUAUCUUGGGGAACUGGUGUAUAUUCUUCUCAUUCUCAAAAGCACCUUGUAUGGAGCCUUUGUGAUGGGAUUAAAACUAAGAAAAAAGUUGGCACCAUAGGCACGUUUUACCCGGGGGGCAUCUAUCCUGAGCUGAGUGAACUCCAUGAAGACAGAAGGGAAGAUGGAUACUCUCAACCUCGGAAAUCCAAAGUAGCAUUUUCUUAAAACAAAAACAGUCGCUUAGGGUCAGUCAGUAAAUAAUCUCUCUUUGGUUCUCUUAAAUGCUUUAUUAUUUUGCAUUGGAAACAUUUAUAAAAAGCUUUUUUUGGGGGGGGGGAGAAGUCCUUUACCUUGGACUGAGGAGGACACACAAAGGCAGGGGACAGUUGGUGGGGGUGUCCCUGUAGGGUAGAAAAGAUCUCCCAGGGUGAGAGGCUGGGAGAAAAGCAAGCUCCCAGGUGGAAGAUGGGAAGGUCUACCUCUCUGCAUAGGGAUAAAUGACAGUAUAUACAUGAUAUAAAUAUGGAAAACGGCCAUAUAAGUAUUUCCCCCCUCUUACUUUUUAUCUUUUGGCUUUUUUAAUAUUCUUGUUCUAUAAGCUAGCUUGAUUCUUAUUGUAUUUUAUGCCAAAACUUUUCAAUAAAAACACUUUAAAAAUAUUAAAUGCUUUAUUUUAGUAAGGCCACAGCACUUUCCCCCCAGAGUUCCUUGUCUUUCAUGCCACUUUUAACUAUGUUUACUAGGAAAUACAUAUGCUUAGACUUCCAACCUUAAAGUACUAUUGAUUUUCAAGGAGCCUUGUGCAUCACUCUUGUGCAGAGAUCGAGCCGCAGCCAACAUGAUACGUUUUUUAGUAAAGUCGCCGAAUCCUU